UGCCUGGAUCGCACAUCAAGAUGUUCAAGGGUAUCCUGGUUCUCCUUUUCGUGACUAUGGCAGUGGCAGAAUGGUCUGAAACGAAGGUACCGAAUUGUACCCUGGGCCAGAAUCCUUGUGGACCAGAAGGCAUUGGCGCAGAACAACUGUGGUUCUACCUAGGUGGUCAACGUGAUACGUGCCUGCAAUCAGGGACAUGCAGGGAGUAUGAUCAAUACGGUUUUCACAAAUUAAAGGAGUGCGAAAGAAGUCAUAAACACUGCCCAGCUGAGGAGGCCAAACGACGAGCUACGACUGGAGGCUCCUCGUAGGGCGUUGUGCCAAGUUCAUUGUGCACUACAAAGGAAUGUUAUAGGGAUAAUAAAUAAUGCAGUUCAGUUAC